rnacentral:rRNA from 1 species
UACGGGGGGUGCGAGCGUUAUUCGGAAUUAUUGGGCGUAAAGGGCGCGCAGGCGGUUGAAUAAGUCGGGUGUGAAAGCCCUUGGCUUAACCAAGGAAGUGCAUUUGAUACUAUUUGACUUGAGUAUGGGAGAGGGAAGUGGAAUUCCUGGUGUAGAGGUGAGAUUCGUAGAUAUCAGGAGGAACACCGGUGGCGAAAGCGACUUCCUGGACCAAUACUGACGCUGAGGCGCGAAGGCGUGGGGAGUAAACAGG